rnacentral:rRNA from 1 species
GGGAUUGCCUCAGUAGCGGCGAGUGAAGCGGCAAGAGCUCAGAUUUGAAAUCUCACCUAGUGUGCGAGUUGUAAAUUGCAGGUUGGAGUCUCGGGUUAGACGUGUGUGCAAGUCCCUUGGAACAGGGUGCCACUGAGGGUGAGAGCCCCGUAUCGUGCAUGUCGACACCUGUGAGGCCCUUCUGACGAGUCGAGUUGUUUGGGAAUGCAGCUCUAAGUGGGUGGUAAAUUCCAUCUAAGGCUAAAUAUUGGCGAGAGACCGAUAGCGAACAAGUACUGUGAAGGAAAGAUGAAAAGCACUUUGAAAAGAGAGUGAAACAGCACGUGAAAUUGUUGAAAGGGAAGGGUAUUGGGCUCGACAUGGGAUUUACGCAUCGUUGCCUCUCGUGGGCGGCGCUCUGGGUUUUUCCUGGGCCAGCAUCGGUUUUCGUUGCAGGAUAAGGACAAUUGGAAUGUGGCUCCUCGGAGUGUUAUAGCCUUUUGUAGAUGCUGCGUAUGGGGACCGAGGGCUGCGGCGGACUCGUUUCGUCUCGGAUGCUGGCACAACGGCGCAAUACCGCCCGUCUUGAAACACGGACCA